GAGAAGUUUUAUUCUUGCUUUUUCGUUCAGUAUUUAUUUGUUCUAUAUGUAAGUCUUUGCGUAAGUUUUAUCGUGAUUCUAGAUGGGUUAUGGUUGUGUUUAAGAUAAUUCUCAUUAGUUGUUAUUGGUUGUUCAAGUAUUCUUGUAUUUAGCAAUAUAUUUUAGUUUCGGUUAAAUUUUGUGCCAGCAGCCGCGGUUAUACCUUGGGGGCAUUUGAAUGUGUUUGGCGUUAGGUAGUUAUAUUAUUUAUAUUUGUUGAUUGUAUUUUGUUUGUUGUUAGGUGAAAUUUUUAUUAUUUUUAAUUUUCUUGUUUUAUAUUUGGAAGCUAUGAAACUCUUUUUGUAAACUAGGAUUAGAUACCCUAUUAUUUUAGAGUGUUAAAUUGUUUUUUGCCUGAGUAGUAUUAGUUAUGUUCUUGAAACUUAAAGAAUUUGGCGGUAUCUCAUUCCGUUCAGAGGAAUCUGUCUCGUUAUCGAUAGUCCGCGUUGGACCUUACUUAGUUGCUUUGGUUUGUAUACCGCCGUUUAUUGAUUAUCUUUUUAGGGUUUGAUUAAUUUUCUGGUUUCUUUAUUUUGAUUUAUUUCAGGUCAAGGUGCAGCUUGUUUCUAAGUGAAAUGAUGGAUUACAUUGUUAUUUGUUUUGUGGAUUGUUGAUUUUAAUAUUAGUAUGAAAUUGGAUUUGGUUGUAAUGAUUUGUAGAUUAUUAUUAUGAUAAGUGGUUCUGGGAUAUGCACACAUCGCCCGUCGCUCUCGUUUAUGUUGUUAAUGAGAUAAGUCGUAACAAAGUGGUUGUACCGGAAGGUGCAGCUGGAUUGGG
rnacentral:ncRNA from 1 species